rnacentral:rRNA from 1 species
GAUGAACGCUGGCGGCGUGCCUAAUACAUGCAGGUCGAGCGAACAGAUGAUGAGCUUGCUCCUCUGACGUUAGCGGCGGACGGGUGAGUAACACGUGGAUAACCUACCUAUAAGACUGGGAUAACUUCGGGAAACCGGAGCUAAUACCGGAUAAUAUAUUGAACCGCAUGGUUCAAUAGUGAAAGACGGUUUUGCUGUCACUUAUAGAUGGAUCCGCGCCGCAUUAGCUAGUUGGUAAGGUAACGGCUUACCAAGGCAACGAUGCGUAGCCGACCUGAGAGGGUGAUCGGCCACACAGGAACUGAGACACGGUCCAGACUCCUACGGGAGGCAGCAGUAGGGAAUCUUCCGCAAUGAGCGAAAGCCUGACGGAGCAACGCCGCGUGAGUGAUGAAGGUCUUCGGAUCGUAAAACUCUGUUAUUAGGGAAGAACAAAUGUGUAAGUAACUAUGCACGUCUUGACGGUACCUAAUCAGAAAGCCACGGCUAACUACGUG